rnacentral:lncRNA from 1 species
UCUCAGAGUGUCUGAAUUGCAAAGACAUCAGGGAAUUUAGCACAAAUUAUUAUUUAUUCAAUUUCUUUUGACAAAAGAAUGCUUUUCAGAGGGUGGCAACAAGAGCAAUGUUGACUGCUGCUUGGGACGGCAAAUGGACCAGAGUAAAACUGCUUGCUUUGCCUGAUGCUGCUCUGGAAAAAGGAGAUUCCAACAGCCCAUGUUCACCAGCGUCAGCUGGACAUGGUGUAAGCUGGUAUUGCUCCACCAGAGAGACCACACGAGGAUACACCAGAGCCUGGUCCCUUCCUGGAAGCCCUUCACAUGAGAACCUGCUGUGGACACACUGCAGUGGAUGGACUGAACACAUGAGACAAGACUUACAGUGGGCUAACCUGUCCCUGGACUUAGUUCUGGUGCACACACAAGUGAACUACAACUAA